rnacentral:rRNA from 1 species
CCUACGGGUGGCAGCAGUGGGGAAUAUUGGGCAAUGGGCGCAAGCCUGACCCAGCAAUGCCGCGUGAAGGAAGACGGCUCUCGGGUUGUAAACUUCUUUGACAGGGGAAGAGCAGAAGACGGCACCCUGAAAACAAGCCAUGGCUAACUACGUGCCAGCAGCCGCGGUAAUACGUAGGUGGCAAGCGUUGUCCGGAUUUACUGGGUGUAAAGGGCGUGUAGCCGGGAAGGGAAGGCAGAUGUGAAAUCCGGAGGCUCAACCUCCGAAUUGCAGUUGAAACCGUUUUUCUUGAGUGCUGGAGAGGCAGACGGAAUGCGUUGUGUAGCGGUGAAAUGCGUAGAUAUAAGGAAGAACACCGGUGGCGAAGGCAGUCUGCUGGACAGCAACUGACGGUGAGGCGCGAAAGCGUGGGGAGCAAACAGGAUUAGAUACCCGGGUAGUC